rnacentral:lncRNA from 1 species
UGGACCCACAUAUCCCUCCCCCCCCCGCCUCCUUAGGGGCACCAUCAGAUGGGCCACACAUUGCCACCUGCCAUACCUGCAUCAGCACCCCAACUCCUAGUCCCAGCCUGAUUAUACAAUGCACCAUGUGCCAACACUCCAUACAAAUGCUGGAAACACAAACAGCCAACUGCCCCACAGCCACCUGGACCCACAUAUCCCUCCCCCCCCCCCCCCCCGCCUCCUUAGGGGCACCCACAGGUGGGCCAUGCAUUGCCACCUGCCAUACCUGCAUCGGCACCCCAACUCCUAGUCCCAGCCUGAUUAUUCAAUGCACCAUGUGCCAACACUCUAUACAAAUGCUGGAAACACAAACAGCCAACUGCCCCACAGCCACCUGGACCCACAUAUCCCUCCCCCCCCCGCCUCCUUUGGGGCACCAUCAGGUGGGCCAUGCAUUGCCACCUGCCAUACCUGCAUCGGCACCCCAACUCCUAGUCCCAGCCUGAUUAUACAAUGCACCAUGUGCCAGCACUCUAUACAAAUGCUGGAAACACAAACAGCCAACUGCCCCACAGCCACCUGGACCCACAUAUCCCUCCCCCCCCCCCCCUGCCUCCUUAGGGGCACCCACAGGUGGAUGGGCCACGCAUUGCCAUCUGCCAUACCUGCAUUGGCACCCCAACUCCUAGUCCCAGCCUGAUUAUACAAUGCACCAUGUGCCAGCACUCCAUACAAAUGCUGGAAAUACAAACAGCCUACUGCCCCACAGCCACCUGGACCCACA